UUUGGAAGAGGUUUUGUCUCUUUCGUUGACGGUAGAGAACUCUGCGUUGAGGCUUCUAGUCAUUAUAAUCUCUGUCCGCUAUUAUUUGCACGUAACACUUGAUACACAUUACAGGCGUGCACAACUUAACGUAUCAAAACGGGGAAACGGCAAUACUAUCCCACUGUGGACAUAGUUGAGUCACGAUCGGUCCUGGAACAUACGAGUCCGAUGUCACCUUCCUGAUCCGCAGCCAUGCAGCCCGCCUCCUCUCCUUUCUCCUCCUCACUGUGGUCACUCAGAGCCCUGUCCCAGCCUCCAUCUUCAUCUUCAUUACUAUCAGCAUGUUGACUCUGGGGUGGUGGUUGUGCAACAUCCUGUCACUGCUGGGAUUCUUUCUGCUAUGAUGGGUCAUUGGAGUCUAACUGCCAAACAGUUACAUUUAUUUCUGUAUCUCAAUAAAUCAUGUUCGUUUUUUCCACAUGAUCUCUCCUUAUUGAACUGCUUUUGUAGAUAAGCUUCAAGCCAGAAAGCAACAAUACCUAAACCAAAAAUAUUAUCAUCAGAAGUGAG
ensembl:lncRNA